GGUUUGCAACUACGUGUCCCAGACUGCAUCCCUGCUGAGAGUCCCUCCCUCGCUUCUCAUGUUGCAGGAAGAACGUAAGCGCCCGCCCCUUGUCAAUCAGUCACCAUAUAAUUUUGGAUUGGUUGUUGUGGUGAAGUUUUCCACCAAUAGGAGAGAUGUUGUGGUGUGUAUUUUUUUUCUUUUGGCAAGCCUUUUCCGCCUGUAAGACCUGUCGCUAAUGUCUGCAUGCUAUGUUUUCCUGUCUCAUACAGCGCGAUCGAGCGCCGAACGUGAUCAAAAUAAGCAGAAAAAAAGUAUCGCGGACAUAAUUUAUCAUAACUCUGGUUUUAUUUGGCCUAUCAACACAAUUUAAAAACUGGUAUAUAGGUUGAGGUCCUCACUUUUGAGAUAAGUUGAAACGGAGAGUCAACGAGGCUCCGUCUUGCAGCUACAUCCGGUUAAAUAUGUCAUGUGACUUGAACGCACACACAGACACACACACACGCACACACACACACACACACACACACACACACACACACACACACACACACACACUCAGAGUCUGGUUUUUAGCACCUGCAAAAACAUGCUAUUUACAUAUUUGACAAGAAUGCAGAGGCUCCUUUUACCCCUGAAAAAAAUCAAAUUUCAAACACAACUUGACUGGUCAUUUCUCCAAAAGACAACCAUGAAGCUCCAUCCAAACCUGAAGCAGGCAGUUGGUGCAUGUGUACAGUAACCUGAGGGGAGUGAGGUGACUGCUUCUGAGGAGAACAUGACCAGUGAAGAUUCACCUUGGAGCUAGAACAGAGACAUGCACAUGAUUAUACAGGGGCAGGGGCUCAAGUUUUUUCCAGUCGUUUAUACAAUAUGGAAAUUAAUGUGAAAUUAAAACACAAAGUAUUAAUAGAAAGGUAAUGACUGUCCUGUGUAGGUGACAGUGAUAUCCAAUAGGCUAGGCACUCACGAGGCUGGCUGUGGCAAGUGUAAGUGAAAGCAACACGCACUGGCAGGAAGAACAGCAAACGCCGAUGAAGGAAAAGGGUCUUUGCAGUGAUGGGCGUUACCAGAGAGGGCGAUGGCCAGAGGACACAAAUGGGACGGGGAGGCAGCACGUUGCGGGGGGGACGCGACACGGCUCGGGCCCGCCAGUGCCCCAACGGGGUCCUAGUUAGGGCCCGAGCCAGCUGCAGAGCAGCCGGGCGUAGGCCCUAUUAUUCCCCAAGUGGUUUUUCUUUGUUUCUUUCUUUCUUUUUUAGGGCCCGAGCGUAGCUGCUAAGCAGCUGCGAGAGCCCUAUUAUUCCCCAAGUGGUUUUUCUUUGUUUCUUUCUUUCUUUCUUUCUUUCUUUCUUUCUUCUUUUUCCUCCCCUUUGAACUGGAAAAUGGCCCACUUCCCACUGGCGAAAACUCAUGAAAUUUGGCAGGACGACCGGGCCUGGUGAAAAAUUCGAUAUUCUGAAGUCGCCCAAACAAUAAAAUGCAAAAUGGCUCCAUAGCGCCUCCUAAGGUGGAAAUUCACACUAUUGACUGUCACGCCUGUACGCUUUGUCAUAUUGACACAAAAAUUGACACACAUAUGUAUCUCAAUAAGAUCUACAAAAAAGUCAGUGCGGCCGUAUCUGUCAAAUGUACGGUUAAAGGGUUAUUUCGCAUUUUUUCCGAUCCACACACAUUGGAAUUUCGCUAACUCCUCCGAAGGCUUUCGUUCCACCGGCACCACAUUUGCUCAGGCCAAUCUACACCCCGUGGCCAUUAAAAGCUAUCAAAAUCAUGACGCUGCACCCCAAGGUUUAGGUUCUAGGGGGCGCCAAAGAUAACACUAAAAUCCACAUAUUUAAAAGUCUUAUAACUUUUUAUUUUUGUCCUCACUGGCCUCCAAGUUUUCUAGGAUGAUGCAAUGUCCAGCCAUCAACACAUUUGUGAAGGAAUUUUUACUCCCCAAAAGAGCGCCCCCCCAUGGCAGGAGAAAAAAGUCCAUUUUUUCUUGUCCCCUAAGGUGAAAAUACACAUUGUUGAGUGUCACGCCUAUACGCUUUGUCAAAAUGACACAAAAAUUGACACACACAUGUAUCUCAAUAAGAUCUACGAAAAAGUCAAUGCGCGCGUAUCUGUCAAAUGUACGGUUAAAGGGUUAUUCCGCAUUUUUUGCCGAUCCGCACACAUUGGAAUGUGGCUAACUCCUCCUAAGGCUUUCGUUCCACCGGCACCACAUUUGCUCAGGCCAAUCUACACCCCAUGGCCAUUAAAAGUUAUUCAAAUCAUGACGCUGCACCCCACGGUUUAGGUUCUAGGGGGCGCCAAAGACAACCCUAAAAUCCACAUAUUUAAAAGUCUUAUAACUUUUUAUUUUUGUCCUCACUGGCCUCCAAGUUUUCUAGGAUGAUGCAAUGUCCAGCCAUCAACACAUUUGUGAAGGAAUUUUUACUCCCCAAAAGAGCGCCCCCCCAUGGCAGGAGAAAAAAGUCAAUUUUUUCUUGUCCCCUAAGGUGAAAAUACACAUUGUUGAGUGUCACGCCUAUACGCUUUGUCAAAAUGACACAAAAAUUGACACACAUAUGUAUCUCAAUAAGAUCUACAAAAAAGUCAGUGCGGCCGUAUCUGUCAAAUGUACGGUUAAAGGGUUAUUUCGCAUUUUUUUCCGAUCCACACACAUUGGAAUUUCGCUAACUGCUCCGAAGGCUUUCGUUCCACCGGCACCACAUUUGCUCAGGCCAAUCUACACCCCGUGGCCAUUAAAAGUUAUCAAAAUCAUGACGCUGCACCCCAAGGUUUAGGUUCUAGGGGGCGCCAAAGAUAACACUAAAAUCCACAUAUUUAAAAGUCUUAUAACUUUUUAUUUUUGUCCUCACUGGCCUCCAAGUUUUCUAGGAUGAUGCAAUGUCCAGCCAUCAACACAUUUGUGAAGGAAUUUUUACUCCCCAAAAGAGCGCCCCCCCCCCAUGGCAGGAGAAAAAAGUCCAUUUUUUCUUGUCCCCUAAGGUAAAAACACAUUGUUGAGUGUCACGCCUAUACGCUUUGUCAAAAUGACACAAAAAUUGACACACACAUGUAACUCAAUAAGAUCUACGAAAAAGUCAAUGCGCGCGUAUCUGUCAAAUGUACGGUUAAAGGGUUAUUCCGCAUUUUUUGCCAAUCCGCACACAUUGGAAUGUGGCUAACUCCUCCUAAGGCUUUCGUUCCACCGGCACCACAUUUGCUCAGGCCAAUCUACACCCCAUGGCCAUUAAAAGUUAUUCAAAUCAUGACGCUGCACCCCACGGUUUAGGUUCUAGGGGGCGCCAAAGACAACCCUAAAAUCCACAUAUUUAAAAGUCUUAUAACUUUUUAUUUUUGUCCUCACUGGCCUCCAAGUUUUCUAGGAUGAUGCAAUGUCCAGCCAUCAACACAUUUGUGAAGGAAUUUUUACUCCCCAAAAGAGCGCCCCCCCAUGGCAGGAGAAAAAAGUCCAUUUUUUCUUGUCCCCUAAGGUGAAAAUACAUAGUGUUGAGAUUCACGCCUAUACGCUUUGUCAUAUUGACACAAAAUUUGACAAUCACGUGCCUUGCCUGGUAUCAUUUUUUUCAGCACAACCUCACCUGUGCGAAUUUACAGUUAUUUUAUCAUGUUGACAUACUGAAUUUACACAAUGGACCCAAAUUCACACACAAAACAUAAAAUCCGAGUGGAAAAAAGUAACAUUUUUACUGUGAAAACCACAAAUAUGUGUGAUGAACUGUUUUUAAAACUUAAACUUCAAAUAAAAAUUGUAAACUUCAAAACAUAUGCAAAUUUUUAACAAAGAACAUAGUGAUUUACCUCUAUUUACAUCAAAAUGCAGGCAAUGGCCCAGGCGUUCUUUGUAAAAUUAUUUACAAAACACUGUAUAGUCUCACAAAUGUCACUUUUUAUUUAUGCCACUACAAAAAAACAUGAUGUAAAUGAUGCAUGAUGUAAAACAUGAUGUAAAAAACUUGUGUAGAUCCUCCUCUAUGUCAGUCCAUGUGUAAUUUUUCCAUAAUUCUUUGUUUUUUGCAGCAUUUUUGUUAGUGUAACUGCAGAUUGUGCUGACAGUGUCUAUGGCACAAAAAAAAAAAAAAUUAAAAUGCCUCAACAUGAACCCCUGGUGGUCUCUGAGGGUGAAACCUGCUAACUGCUGCAGCUCUGUCAGCUUCAGUCUCCCAUGCAGAGCUCUGAGCGCAUGUGUGGCUCUGCACCCUUAGCAGCGUUGCUAACUCCUCAGUAAGGAAAGCCUGCUUCAUGUCAGAGUCUCUAAACUCCAGAAGAAGUCGAUAAAAGUCCCUUUCUUUCUAGAAAAAAGUCGUUAGGGGGUCUGAAAAGUCAUUGAAUCUAACAACAAAGUCGCUAGGUUUGCAACUACGUGUCCCAGACUGCAUCCCUGCUGAGAGUCCCUCCCUCCCUUCUCAUGUUGCAGGAAGAACGUAAGCGCCCGCCCCUUGUCAAUCAGUCACCAUAUAAUUUUGGAUUGGUUGUUGUGGUGAAGUUUUCCACCAAUAGGAGAGAUGUUGUGGUGUGUUUUUUUUUCUUUUGGCAAGCCUUUUCCGCCUGUAAGACCUGUCGCUAAUGUCUGCAUGCUAUGUUUUCCUGUCUCAUACAGCGCGAUCGAGCGCCGAACGUGAUCAAAAUAAGCAGAAAAAAAGUAUCGCGGACAUAAUUUAUCAUAACUCUGGUUUUAUUUGGCCUAUCAACACAAUUUAAAAACUGGUAUAUAGGUUGAGGUCCUCACUUUUGAGAUAAGUUGAAACGGAGAGUCAACGAGGCUCCGUCUUGCAGCUACAUCCGGUUAAAUAUGUCAUGUGACUUGAACGCACACACAGACACACACACACGCACACACACACACACACACACACACACACACACACUCAGAGUCUGGUUUUUAGCACCUGCAAAAACAUGCUAUUUACAUAUUUGACAAGAAUGCAGAGGCUCCUUUUGCCCCUGAAAAAAAUCAAAUUUCAAACACAACUUGACUGGUCAUUUCUCCAAAAGACAACCAUGAAGCUCCAUCCAAACCUGAAGCAGGCAGUUGGUGCAUGUGUACAGUAACCUGAGGGGAGUGAGGUGAGUGCUUCUGAGGAGAACAUGAGCAGUGAAGAUUCACCUUGGAGCUCGAACAGAGACAUGCACAUGAUUAUACAGGGGCAGGGGCUCAAGUUUUUUCCAGUCGUUUAUACAAUAUGGAAAUUAAUGUGAAAUUAAAACACAAAGUAUUAAUAGAAAGGUAAUGACUGUCCUGUGUAGGUGACAGUGAUAUCCAAUAGGCUAGGCACUCACGAGGCUGGCUGUGGCAAGUGUAAGUGAAAGCAACACGCACUGGCAGGAAGAACAGCAAACGCCGAUGAAGGAAAAGGGUCUUUGCAGUGAUGGGCGUUACCAGAGAGGGCGAUGGCCAGAGGACACAAAUGGGACGGGGAGGCAGCACGUUGGGGGGGGGCGACACGGCUCGGGCCCGCCAGUGCCCCAACGGGGUCCUAGUUAGGGCCCGAGCGUAGCUGCUAAGCAGCUGCGAGAGCCCUAUUAUUCCCCAAGGGGUUUUUCUUUGUUUCUUUUUAGGGCCCGAGCGUAGCUGCUAAGCAGCUGCGAGAGCCCUAUUAUUCCCCAAGGGGUUUUUCUUUGUUUCUUUUUUCUUUUUCCUCCCCUUUGAACUGGAAAAUGGCCCACUUCCCACUGGCGAAAACUCAUGAAAUUUGGCAGGACGACCGGGCCUGGUGAAAAAUUUGAUAUUCCAAAGUCGCCCAAACAAGAAAAUGCAAAAUGGCUCCAUAGCGCCCCCUAAGGUGAAAAUUCACACUAUUGACUGUCACGCCUGUACGCUUUGUCAAAAUGACACAAAAAUUGACACACACAUGUAUCUCAAUAAGAUCUACAAAAAAGUCAGUGCGGGCGUAUCUGUCAAAUGUACGGUUAAAGGGUUAUUUCGCAUUUUUUGCCGAUCCGCACACAUUGGAAUUUCGCUAACUCCUCCGAAGGCUUUCGUUCCACCGGCACCACAUUUGCUCAGGCCAAUCUACACCCCAUGGCCAUUAAAAGUUAUUCAAAUCAUGACGCUGCACCCCACGGUUUAGGUUCUAGGGGGCGCCAAAGAAAACCCUAAAAUCCACAUAUUUAAAAGUCUUAUAACUUUUUAUUUUUGCCCUCACUGGCCUCCAAGUUUUCUAGGAUGAUGCAAUGUCCAGCCAUCAACACAUUUGUGAAGGAAUUUUUACUCCCCAAAAGAGCGCCCCCCCAUGGCAGGAGAAAAAAGUCCAGUUUUUCUUGUCCCCUAAGGUGAAAAUACACAUUGUUGAGUGUCACGCCUGUACGCUUUGUCAAAAUGACACAAAAAUUGACACACACAUGUAUCUCAAUAAGAUCUACAAAAAAGUCCAUGUGCGCGUAUCUGUCAAAUGUACGGUUAAAGGGUUAUUCCGCAUUUUUUGCCGAUUCGCACACAUUGGAAUUUCGCUAACUCCUCCGAAGGCUUUCGUUCCACUGGCACCACAUUUGCUCAGGCCAAUCUACACCCCAUGGCCAUUAAAAGUUAUUCAAAUCAUGACGCUGCACCCCACGGUUUACGUUCUAGGGGGCGCCAAAGAUAACCCAAAAAUCCACAUUUUUAAAAGUCUUAUAACUUUUUAUUUUUGUCCUCACUGGCCUCCAAGUUUUCUAGGAUGAUGCAAUGUCCAGCCAUCAACACAUUUGUGAAGGAAUUUUUACUCCCUAAAAGAGCGCCCCCCCAUGGCAGGAGAAAAAAGUCCAUUUUUUCUUGUCCCCUAAGGUGAAAAUACACAUUGUUGACUGUAACACCUGUACGCUUUGGCAAAAUGACACAAAAAUUGAAAAUCAUGUGUAUCUCAAUUGGAUCUACGAAAAAGUCAAAGAGCGCGUAUCUGUAUAAUGUACGGUAAAAGGCCUAUUUUGCAUUUUUUGCCGAUUCGCACACAUUGGAAUUUCGCUAACUCCUCCGAAGGCUUUUGUCCCACUGACACCAAAUUUGCUCAGGCCAAUCUACACUCCAUGGCCAUUCAAAGUUGUAAAAAUCAUGACGCUGCACCCCACGGUUUACGUUUUAGGGGGCGCCAAAGAUGACCCAAAUAUACAUUACAGUAGACAAAGUAGUUUUGCCCACUGAGUGGCGCCAAAGGGACUUGUCUGUGGAGUCUGUGAGUCACUAUUG